UUCCCCUUUCUUCCGCAGACCCAGAGAAAAAGGGGCAAAGGAAAUAAUCGAGCGGAGAAGAGGGAUCAGGAGUUGAGGAUGCGGCUCUCCCUCCCCCUCGUCGCCGGCGCCGUCGUGGCCGGAGUGAUUUCUGGGAAUGUGAUAUUUGGGCCGCCGCUCCAGAAGUACUGGGCAGAGAAGCAGCAGCAAGAUCAGACGGCAAAAGAAGGCCAAACCGGGUCGACUUAAGGAAGAUAUCCUAAUGUUGCCCAGUCAAUGUCGCCAUACUUCCCUCGAUCAGUCGCAGACACAUAAUUCUGAAACUAGUACAAUGAUGUGAAAAUGUACUUGGGUUAUUCGAUAGCCUCGGUUUUUGCUAGCUUUGCUUGAAUUAGUUGCAGUAGCUUUUGUACUAGAAGGUAUCGUUUGUACCAAGUACAGAAUGAAUUCGAAUCCAAACCACCAUUUUGGUCAAACUUUUGUUUGAAUUCAGUUUCA